AGCUCCAAUAGCGUAUAUUAAUGUUGCUGCAGUUAAAAAGCUCGUAGUUGGAUCUCGGGUCCAGGCUUGCGGUUCCGCCCGUGCGGAUACUGCUUGUCCUGACCUACCAGCCGGCCGACCCUUGGUGCCCUUAACUGGGUGUCUCGGGCGGGCCGGAACGUUUACUUUGAAAAAAUUAGAGUGUUCAAAGCAAGCGAUUUGCCCUGAAUACAUUAGCAUGGAAUAAUAGAAUAGGACCUGGUCUUAUUUUGUUGGUUUGUAUAAUUUCAGGUAAUGAUUAACAGGGACGGUUGGGGGCAUUUGUAUUCCGAGGCGAGAGGUGAAAUUCUUAGACCCUCGGAAGACAAACAGCUGCGAAAGCGUUUGCCAAGGACGUUUUCAUUGAUCAAGAACGAAAGUA
rnacentral:rRNA from 1 species